rnacentral:rRNA from 1 species
CCUACGGGAGGCAGCAGUGAGGAAUAUUGGUCAAUGGGCGAGAGCCUGAACCAGCCAAGUCGCGUGAGGGAGUACUGCCCUAUGGGUUGUAAACCUCUUUUGUCGGGGAGCAAAAGCCGGACGUGUCCGGCUGUGAUAGUACCCGGAGAAAAAGCAACGGCUAACUCCGUGCCAGAAGCCGCGGUAAUACGGGGGAUGCGAGCGUUUUCCUGAUUUAUUGGGUUUAAAGGGUGCGCAGGCGGAUUUUUAAGUCAGCGGUAAAAUCGUGGGGCUCAAACCCAUCCAGGCGUUGAAACUGGGGAUCUUGAGUGUGCUAGAGGUAGGCGGAAUGCGUGGUGUAGCGGUGAAAUGCAUAGAUAUCACGCAGAACCCCGAUUGCGAAGGCAGCAUACCGGUGCACAACUGACGCUCAGGCACGAAAGCGUGGGUAUCGAACAGGAUUAGAUACCCCAGUAGUC